GGCAUGGUGGCUCAGUGGUUAGAGCACCCGCCUCAUGAUCGGGUGGUCGUGGGUUCGAACCCCGGCCGAGUCA
rnacentral:tRNA from 1 species